rnacentral:misc_RNA from 1 species
GAUGAAGAACGCAGCGAAAUGCGAUAAGUAAUGUGAAUUGCAGAAUUCAGUGAAUCAUCGAAUCUUUGAACGCACAUUGCGCCCGCCAGUAUUCUGGCGGGCAUGCCUGUCUGAGCGUCAUUUCAACCCUCAUGCCCCUAGGGCGUGGUGUUGGGGAUCGGCCAAAGCCCGCGAGGGACGGCCGGCCCCUAAAUCUAGUGGCGGACCCGUCGUGGCCUCCUCUGCGAAGUAGUGAUAUUCCGCAUCGGAGNGCGACGAGCCCCUGCCGUUAAACCCCCAACUUUCCAAGGUUGACCUCAGAUCAGGUAGGAAUACCCGCUGAACUUAAGCAUAUCAAUAAGCGGAGGA